CAUACACAUCUGAGAUGGCAGAAGGGUGAGUAAAUGAUGAGAGAAAUUUCAUUUUUGGGUAAACUGGUGUAAACGUAGACUGUAACCUGUACUACACUAGAUGGCGAUGGGCGCCUUUGUCUUGCAAAACUCCACUUUAUAUACGAGAAGACAAAUUUACACAUGACGUGAGAAACAUUCGGGUGAUGAUGUAUUGGCAUAGACUUAAAAUGAUGAUAUCGUAGGGAGACUUUUUGUGAAGUUCGCAUGACAUGAUUGAAAACGAGCAUGUUUUGUAUUUGACCUCAGCAGUAAGAGCAUAUUCUGGGUCGUUGUUUACAUAAUUCCAUGACUUGGGUCGAAUUCUAAUAUCAUUUUAUUCAUUUCAAGUCAAACUAAUUUUAACAUGAAUCUCAGCGUGACUAUUCUAACAAGCGUUCGUCUGUAUCGGAAUAAGGCGACUCUCUUUCACUGCAGAAGACUGUCAAGCACUGUUCCCAUUUCAUCUGAUCAACCCCAGUCCAGCACAUGUCAGGAACACAAGAGAACCCUUAAAGAUCUGCCCUUCUCUUCCCCGGGCAGGGCAGUCAGUUCGUCGGCAUGGGAAGAGGACUUUUGAAAUAUGGGAAUGUCAAAGAGAUGUUUUGUGUAGCACAGAAGGUUCUGGGUUAUGAUCUGCUGUCUCUGUGCUUAAAUGGACACGAGAAAGAUCUAAUGAAGACUGUUCAUUGCCAGCUAGCUGUGUUUGUCUGCUCACUGGUUGCUGUGGAAAGACUGAACCACGAAAAUCCUGCUGUAAGUGAUCCAUAAGAUCAGUCCAAAGCUUAUCUAUUAGUAAUAUCAUUGGAUAGUGACAGUGACAUAAAUGUAUCAGGAUAUAAAUGCACUCAUGUGGUCAAUACUAACUGAAAAUCCAUUGACCCCUCUGGCUAUUGAGAGCUGUGUGGCUGCUGCAGGUUUCAGUGUUGGGGAAUUUGCUGGUCUUCUCUGGUGCAAUGGACUUUGCUGAAGCUCUGUUUACUGUAAAAGUGAGGGCAGAGGCAAUGCAGAAGGCCUCCGACCAAGUGGUAUCCAAGAGCCUGUGUGCACCAUUGCAAAUACCUCUUUCCAUAUGGUAGAGUAAUAGCUGGCCACAAAGAAGCUUUGGAUUUCCUUCAAAAGAACUCCAGAGAGUUGAACUUCAUCAGAACUCGACUGCUGCCAGUUAGUGGGGCCUUUCACACCCCACUGAUGAAGCUGGCGGAGGAACCCCUGAGAGACGUCCUCAGGCAGAUAGACGUACGGCGCCCUGAGAUCGCUGUACACUCCAAUGUGGAUGGAAAGCGUUACAUGCAUGACAAGCACAUUCGUAAACAGCUGGCCAAACAGCUGGUGUCUCCAGUGAAAUGGGAGCAGACGCUGCAUGAGAUUUAUGAAAGAGCCCAGGGACAGGAGUUUCCCCACACCUAUGAGGUUGGGCCCGGGAAACAGUUGGGCUCAACGCUACUGAAGUGCAACAUGAAGGCCUUUAAGAACAAUACACAUGUAGAUGUUGUACUGCCAGAAGACUAAUCAAUGUUAUAUUGUAGAAGAAAUUCUGUUUUCUACUUUCAAAUAUAAAAAUAACAUAAAACCACACACUUUGUUUCCUUUUUAAA